CCGGGCAGGCCAAUUAACUUCUCUGAUGAGAAUUUCUCUUCUGUCACGUUGGGAUUCUAACAGCUACAUGGCAUUGGGAGUAGGCAGAGGAUGGAAGUGAGGUGAGAGCAGCUGCCUUGCUUCCCGCUGGGCCUUCCUCCAUUAGCCCUGCAGCCCAGAGACUGCUAGGUUCAGUGAGUUUAGCCCUGAGCCAAUGAUAAACAAAGACCAGGAAGUCUGCUUGGCGGGAGGAGGGAGAAAACAACUCCAGCGCAACCUCACAGGGAAACGCUUUUCUAUUAAUCUUUGAUUUUCGGUGCUAUGAGUUCCUGGCACUUCAGCACUUCAUAAAGAAGCAAUGCUGCAGAAAGAGUGUUGGGGGAUGUGAAGGACUGAGAGACCCGGGCUAUCAUCCCAAUUUCAUCACUGUAAUUUCCAGGUGACCCUGGGCAGGUAAGUCCUUCCUCCCUCUCUGGUCCAUAAUGAUCUUCUGUUGUAAAGUGAGAGGGUGAAAUUUGUUCCCCAAACUUUUUUCAGCUUUCAGCUUUUAGGAGUCUUUGAUUCUUGGAACUGCAGGGAACAAUUUUUGGGAGGAAAACUGCUGAAGUAAAAAGAGGCUGAAUUUCAAGGAUGCUGUUUUUGGAGGAGGAGGAGGACCUAAUUUGUCCUGGGCAGUGGGCAAGGUCCGUAACACAGAGUGUUUCUAGCCCUUAUGUAACAGAGGACUUUGUUGAACCCGUCCAACCAUGAUGAUUUGGAUUGUGCAACUUUGGGUGUAGAACUGAAAUUCUUCACCAAAAUAGAGGGGAGGAAAAACAAUGGUGAAAAGGAUUUUAGGAGAAAUAUUAGCCCAUGAGCCUGGGUCCUGAGUGGAAAGAGGCCACCAAAGAGAAGACUUUGGUGGCUAAAACAGCCAAAGAAGGAACAUUAGAGAAUAGAAAUACUUAAAGUUUGUUCUUUUUUGAAUUGAGAUAGGGAGAAGGAAGGUUGUGCAAUUCAAACGGAUCUUCUUCAUUUCCCCUCUAACAUCUGCAGAAAGUCUAAAAUAGUUCUAUGCACGUGCAUUCUCUGCAGUAACUCAAAGAGCUGAGAGGCUUUACACUGUGAGCCUGGCUUUGCUCAGCACGAAACAGCACAUAAAAGACACAGGGGCCAGAGGAAAGGAGAUCUCCAAUUACUGCACACCUGAGCAACAACCCUGAAAGAGAGCUGGUGUUAUCUCCAGCUCCUCAGGCCAUACUAAAAAAAACACCCCAGAGGUCCCUCACGGACAUUUGAUACAGUGAAGGGCCCCCUCCCCCCUCCCCCUACCCCAAUCAAAUACGUUUACAAUUCUCCUUGAAGAACCGGAACCCUUUUAGGAAGUCAUGGUCUAGGACAGGUUUUAUUCUCCAUUAAAUUCUCCUUUUUAGAAAGAAAAAAAAUCCCUAUGCUAGUGUUUAGAAGCUAACAAACCGCACAUGUUUCUGAUACUUUAUUCUUUCUCUAGGUAACUGAAAAAAAAAAAAUCGUUCUUACCAUGGCAACCUCCGUGCUGGCUCCAGAAAAUGCCAUUUCUUAUUGUGCUUUGGUAUACUGAACGUCAAUGGAACAUUUCUGUAGGGAUCAAUUUUUUAAAGUAAUAAUCCUUUUUAUAUAUGUUAUUUAAUUCCUAUCCUUCAAUGCACCAACAUUAUUAAAUGGCAAAUGAAAAUUGCGCCUUCCCAGUAGAGUGAAUUAAUUCUUAAACAGGGGCUUCCAACAGGUUGAGAGAAUGUGAAUUGGUUUUCUCGCUGGACCCAGAUGAUAUUUCUUCUGUAUUUAUGAAAGCAAGGAGGCUGCUGUCCCCUUGCAGAACCAAGCCACCCAAGCCUCUAAGAGCAUGAAAGCAGCCUGCUAGGAAGGAGAUGGGGUAUAGCAAAAUAAAUGUUAUUACGAAUUUUAGCA